CCUGAUGGCUCCGAUGGUAAAGAACCUGCUUGAAAUGCAGGAGACCAGGGUUCGAUCCCUGGGUCGGGA
rnacentral:tRNA from 1 species